UUAUUUGAGAGUUUGAUCCUGGCUCAGGAUGAACGCUGGCGGCGUGCUUAACACAUGCAAGUCGAGCGAUGAAGUUUCCUUCGGGAAACGGAUUAGCGGCGGACGGGUGAGUAACACGUGGGUAACCUGCCUGUAAGACUGGGAUAACUCCGGGAAACCGGGGCUAAUACCGGAUGCUUGUUUGAACCGCAUGGUUCAAACAUGAAAGGUGGCUUCGGCUACCACUUACAGAUAGACCCGCGGCGCAUUAGCUAGUUGGUGAGG
rnacentral:rRNA from 1 species